UGAACGCUGGCGGCAUGCCUUACACAUGCAAGUCGAACGGCAGCACGGGUGCUUGCACCUGGUGGCGAGUGGCGAACGGGUGAGUAAUAUAUCGGAACGUGCCCUAGAGUGGGGGAUAACUAGUCGAAAGAUUAGCUAAUACCGCAUACGAUCUAAGGAUGAAAGUGGGGGAUCGCAAGACCUCAUGCUCGUGGAGCGGCCGAUAUCUGAUUAGCUAGUUGGUAGGGUAAAAGCCUACCAAGGCGACGAUCAGUAGCUGGUCUGAGGGGACGACCAGCCACACUGGGACUGAGACACGGCCCAGACUCCUACGGGAGGCAGCAGUGGGGAAUUUUGGACAAUGGGGGAAACCCUGAUCCAGCAAUGCCGCGUGUGUGAAGAAGGCCUCGGUUGUAAGCACUUUGUCUAGGACGAACGGUAGGGGCGUAAUACCUCCUGCUAAUGACGGUACCGUCGAAGAAUAAGACACCGGCGUAACUACGUGCCGGCGAGC
rnacentral:rRNA from 1 species